UCGAUCCUACCCGACCGAUCCACAUCGGCCCCGAGUCAUGCGCAGUUGCCCGCGAGGGUUUCGGCGAAGCGUUGACAGGGGGGGGCGCAUAGGCCAGCCAUCGAGCCGCGAAAGAGUCCUAUUCCGGGUGCCGACGCCGUGCAAAUAGCGGAAGGCAGCACGUCCAGGCGCGUUAUCGCGAGCGCCAGGACGACCCGGCGUGGUCAGAGACUC
rfam:Bradyrhizobium sp. BR 10245 contig128, whole genome shotgun sequence.